rnacentral:rRNA from 1 species
GACGAACGCUGGCGGCGUGCUUAACACAUGCAAGUCGAACGGUGAACUCGGAGCUUGCUCCGGGGGAUCAGUGGCGAACGGGUGAGUAACACGUGAGUAACCUGCCCCAGACUCUGGGAU